GGAGAGGUGGCAGAGCGGUUGAACGCGGUGGUCUUGAAAACCAUUAUGGGCGUAAGCUCAUCGGGGGUUCGAAUCCCUCCCUCUCCGCCA
rnacentral:tRNA from 1 species